rnacentral:siRNA from 1 species
GAACAGCUCAGGUUACUCGAGUAC